CCGGCGACCGGCGCACGGGUGAGUAACACGUAUGCAACCUGGCCGUGACAGAUGGAUAACCGGGAGAAAUCCCGCCUAAUACAACAUAAUGCCGGGAGGGGACAUCCCCUGCCGGCCAAAGGGGGCGACCCCGGUCACGGAUGGGCAUGCGGCGCAUUAGGUAGUUGGUGGGGCAACGGCCCACCAAGCCGACGAUGCGUAGGGGUUCUGAGAGGAAGGUCCCCCACAUUGGAACUGAGACACGGCCCAGACUCCUACGGAAGGCAGCAG
rnacentral:rRNA from 1 species